GGCCCUUUAGCUCAGUGGUUAGAGCUGGCGACUCAUAAUCGCACGGUCACCGGUUCAAGUCCAGCAGGGCCACCA
rnacentral:tRNA from 1 species